AGGACGAGGGAAUGGAGACGAUGAGAAAAUUAGUUCUAUUGUUUUUACGAAGGUGUAUCGUUAUAUUUAGAUAUUGAAGGCAUCAUGGAGGAACCGCAAAAACGUUCCAGUAAAGCCUCUGGAACCCUCUGAAACUUCCUUAAUCGCCACAAAAACCCCUUGAAAGCCCUUGGACCCGCAAGCACCUGAAACCUAUCUUAGCCCCCGAAAACGCCCAGGUAAUUCCUAAAACUCGCUGAAAAUCCUCUAAAACUUUCAGAAAUACCAUCAAAUCUUGAUUAAAAUCCCCUUGAAACCCCUUGCACCCCCUGUAAUGAACCUGAGACCCUCCUAAGCACCCGAAAACGCCCAUGUAAUGCUUCUAAAGCCAGCUGAAAUGCCCCUGAAAGUUCCUGAAAUGCCACUACUAUCCCGCUGAGACCCCUUUGAAGUCCCUGUAAUGCACAUAAGACCCUCCUAACCUCUCGAAAAUACUUCUGUAACGCCUCUGAAACUCGCUAAAAAUCCAAUGAAGCUCGCCAUAAGGCCUUUGAAACCCCCUGAGGCUCCUUGGACUCCCUGUAAUGCAUCUGAAACCCUUCUAAACAUCCUAAGAUGGCACAAAUAUUCCAAAUGAGGAGAACGUGCAUCUGGAGACGCCAUACUGAUACCUAAAGCGCUCAAAAACGCCCAGGUAAUGCUUAAACACCUUUAAUAGUUUCUGAAACACUAUCAAAACCCCCUGAGACUCCUUGGAACCACUGUAAAGCAUCUUGACCAUCCCAAACCCCCGUAAACGCUCUUGUAUCGCCUCUGAUGCUCGUUAAAACUUCCUGAAAUGCCAUCUAAACCCCUCUUAAACCCCCUUGGAAUCCAUGGAACGCACCUGAUACUCUUCGAAACCCCCGAAAACGCUUCUGUAACGCCUCCGGCACCCGCUUAAAAUGAUCUGAUACUUCCACAAACAGCACUGAAAACCCCUCGGACCUCCUGUAAAAUACCUGAGACCCUCCGGAACCCCUCUGCUGAAGCUCUCAGUAACGCCUCUGAACCCUCUCCCCUCCUGAAACUCCUUUGAAAGCCCUCUGAAAGCCUAACCUUUUGAAAUCUCCAAGCCACUCACUCUUUUUAAACUUCUUCGCAACCUUCAAAUCCAUUUAGAUAAUAAACUGAACCCGUUUAGGGCAUUUAAUCCAUUUAGGAAAAAAAUCUAUUCGGGAAAUUCGAACUAAAUGGAGGUAAUUUCUUCAAUGCCUUAUCAAAAGGUUCCUCCAGACAGGUUCCACAAGAGUUUCUCUAUGAAUUCAACCAAGAUUUUCCCCACUAUCCGAGUCAUUUUUUAGGCAUUCUUUAAGAAAAUAUUCCAAAGAUUUGCUUGAUUUUUCGGCUUACAGUUUUAGGAAUUGCGUUGAUCAAUUGAUUAUCAUCGCCGACGUUUCGGUCCGGCUAUUGCCCAGACAACCAGCCAUCGUAUAAGAUGUUGCAUAAGAUGAUAGAGUGGAGGCCAUAUGCGUGCAUGCCUCCAUUUAGGCGCAUGUAAAAUGUACGCAUAUCGCCUCCACUUUAACAUCUUAUACAACAUCUUAUACGAUGACUGGUUGACUGGGUGGACCUUCCUCAGGGCCAAAAAAAGUUUUAAUUUAUUGACAUACAACUUCGAACAUACCUGCGGAAGGUCUAAUAGCCGGACUGAAACGUCAGCGAUGAUAAUCAAUUAUUCAUUGCAAUUCAUAAGACUGGGGUCUCCAUUAAGCCUAGUGGCCAAGGCUAUAAGUCGUCAAUCCAAAGACGGCGGGUUCGAUUCCCGUUCCGGUCCGGAAAAUUUUCUCGGCUCCCUGGGCAUAGUUUAUCAUUGUACUUGCCUCAUAAUAUACAAGUUCAUGCAAUGGCAGGCAAAGAAAGCCCUUCAAAUAAUAACUGUGGAAAUGCUCUAAGAACACUAAGAUGUGGAGAGACAGGCCAAGGUCCAAUGCGAACGUCGAGCCAUAAAGAAGAAGAAGAAGUCAUAAGACUGUCAGCUGAAAACCAAACUAAAUCAAAUUAUUAUCCAGUAGAAAAAGUCAUCAGCAUUCCAGAUUCCUCCUAGAAUUUCCCAUGAAAUUUCACCAUGGAUUCCUCCGAAUAUUUUUCCAGAAAUUUUACAAGAAGCCAUCCCGGCAUUUCAAUAAGGACUAUAGGAUUUCCUAUAAGGCAUGUUUCAGCAAUUUAUGAAGAAUUCCUUAUGAAAUUCUACAAAGAUUACUUCACGAGUUUCUUUAAGAAUCUCUCCAGAAAAUCAUCUAGAGGUUUCUACCAGAAAUCCUUCAAAAACUCCUCCAAUUUAUCUUACAGAGAUUCCUGCAAGGAUUCUUUAGGACUAUCAUCCGAACAUUUCUUUUUGAAAUUCUUCAACGACUCCUCCGGAAUUUCUUCAUGGAUUUCAUCAAAGAUUUUUCCAGCAGGAGUUCCUUGGACAUUUUUUCUUAUAACUUCUCCCAAAAAUAUUUUAGAACCUCCUCUAGCAAUUCAUUCAGCACCUCCAGGAAUCUCUUCAAGAAAUACUCCAGGAAUUCUCCCAAGGGUUUGUCAGUUUUCUUUUCAAAGAAUUUUUCAAGUAUUUUACAAGAAUCCCUCCAGAAAUUUCUCAUUAGUAUUCUUCAAAAAAAUUCCAAGGAUUCCUUAAAGCUAAAGCCUACAGAAUUCAUUUAUUUAUUCUUCCAUUGUUCGACAUUUUCCUGAAGCAUUGUCCCAGAAAUUUAUCCAAAGAUUUCAGCACGAAUCCCUGCAACGAUAACUGCUGGAAGUCCUCGGAGAAGAUCCUCCAGAAACUUUACCAGGAAUUUCUACAGGAUUUCCACCAAGCAUUCCUCCUGGAAUUCCACCAGGAUUUUUCCCAGGAAUUGUUCCAGGAAGUCCUCCAGAAAUUCUUUCGAAAUUCCUCUAGGAACUUCAACUGAGAUUCCACUUGAAAUUCCUCCAGAAAUUCCUUCAUGAAUUCCAGCAGAAGUUUCUCUAAAAAUUCCUGAAGGAAUCACUCCAUCAACUCCUCCAGAAGUUUCUCCAGGAAUUCUUAUAUAAAUAAUUCUACCAAGAACUCCACAACGAACUUCACCAGGAAUAACAUAAUGAGUUUGUCCAGUGAUUAUUUCGGGAAUUCUUCCAGGAAUUUCAGCUCAGACUCUGCCUAAGAUUCCUCCUCCUCUCCUCUCCUCUUCUUGGCGUAACGUCCUCACUGGGACAAAGCCUGCUUCUCAGCUUAGUGUUCUAUGAGCACUUCCACAGUUUUUAACUGAGAGCUUCCUCUGCCAAUGACCAUUUUGCAUGUGUAUAUCGUGUGGCAGGCACGAAGAUACUCUAUGCCUAAGGAAGUCAAGGAAAUUUCCUUUACGAAAAGAUCCUGGACCGACCGGGAAUCGAACCCGUCACCCUCAGCAUGGUCAUGCUGAAUACCCGUGCGUUUACCGCCUCGGCUAUAUGGGCCCUAAGAUUCCUCCAGGAGUUAAAUCAAGCAUUCAUGCAGCAAUUCCACCAGAUGUUUCUAUAAGAAUUCUUUCUGUAGUAACUUCAUUCAUUCCACUAGAAAUUCCUCCAGAAAUAACACUAAAAAUUCCUCCACGAUAUCUACUACAAAUUCAUCAUUUCCUCCAGGAAUUCCAUCAGUAAUACAGUACUAGGAUUACCACCUGGAAUUCUUCCAAAAAUUCUUCCAGGAUUCCUUGGAUUCUGCCAGAAAUUCCAGCAGGAUUUUUUCCAGAAAUUGCUCCAACUAUUGUUCUACGAAUUCCUCCUGGAGUUCCACGUAGGGUUCCACCUGAAAUACUUGCAGGAAUUCAACCAAGAAUUCCGCCAUGAAUUCCAGCAGAAGUUGCUCUGAGAAUUCCUUCAGGGAUCACUAUAUCAAUUCCUCUUGAUGUUACAUACGAAAUUGCUCCAGGAAUUUCACCAGGUAUAUCCUCAGAAAUUGUACCAGGAUUUGCAAAAAGAUUUUUUAGUAAUUAUACCAAGAGAUUUUUCUAGAAAUUCCACCUGGGAUUCUACUUGAAACUCCUCCAGGGAUUCGAUCAAGAAUUCCUUCAUCACUUCUUGCAGAAGUUUCUCUGAGAAUUAUUUCAGGAGUAAUUCCAUUAUUUCCUCCAGGAGCUACACCGGAAAUUUCACCAAGGAUUCCUCCAGAAAUUCGAUCACCAGGAAGUCCUCGCGAAAUUCUACCAAAACUUGCACAUUGAGUUCCAUCAUGAAUUACUCGAGAAAUAUUUCAAAUGAUUAUACCAGGAGUUCCUCCAUGAAUUCCAUCAGGAGAUACUCUAGGAUAUCCUCCAGUUUCUCUAGGUGAAGUUUCUCUAUGAAUGCUUCCAGGAAUUCCACCAGGAAUUCUUUCACGAUAUACAAGUAAAUAUUCAAGGAAUUCUCCAAGAAAAUCCGUCAGGAUUUCUUUCUGGAAUCCCAACAGGUUUUUCUCCAGUAAUUCCAACAAGAAUUACCCCAAGAAUUCCUCUAGGAUUUCCACCAAGAAUUCCUACAGAAGUCACUCAAGCAUUUCCAUCAGAAUUCUCUGUAGGAUCUCCACCAGGAAUUCUACCAGGAACUCCUUAAGGCUUCUGUUAGUAAUUCCUCAAUGAAAUCUGUCAGAAAUUCCUCCAGCGAUCCUGCUUCUUGCAGAUCAUGCUUCUUGCAGGAAUUCCUCCAAGAACUUUACCAGGAUUCCUUCAAGACUUCCUUCAGGAAUUCCAUCAGGAGAUACUCUAGGAUAUCCUCCAGUUUCUCUAGGAAUACUCCCAGGAAUUCCUCCACGAUAUGCAAGUAAUUAUUCGAGGAAUCUUCCAAGAAAAUCCGUCGGGAUUCCGUUCUGGAAUUCCACCAGGUUUUUCUCCAGGAAUUCCAACAAGAAUUCCACUCCUAAUCCCUCUAGGAUUUCUACCAAGAAUUCUCCAGGAAUCACUCAAGCAUUUCCUCCAGAAUUCCCUGUAGGAUCGCCACCAGAAAUUCCUCCAGGAAUUCUACCAGGAACUCCUUAAGGUUUCUACCAGGAAUUCCUCAAUGAAUUCUGCCAGAAAUUCCUCCAAGAAUUUUUCCAGGAUUCCUUCAGGACUUCCUUCAGGACUUCCUUCAGGUAUUCCAUCAGGUAGAUCCUCCAAGAAAUCCACCAUUUUCUCUAGGCGAAGUUCCUCUAAGAAUAACUCCAGGAAUCCGUCAAGGUAUUCCACCAAGAAUUCCUACAGGAACUCCUUCAGGAAUUCCUUCGAAAAAUGUUCAAAAUAAUCUGCCAGGAAUUCCUCAAGGAAUCCUGCCAGAAAAUUCUUCCAAGAAUUUUUCCAAGCCUUUUCUUCAGAAAUUCCAACAAAAAUUGAUUCAAGAUCUCCUUCAUCAAUGCAAGCAGAAGUUUCUCUCUGAAUUCCUUCAGGGGUAACUUCGUGGAUUCCUCCAAGAAUUUCACCAGAAAUUUCCUGGAGAAAUUCCAGCAUAAAUUCAACCAGUUAUUCUGCAAGGAAUUCCGCCAAAAACUCCACCAAAAAUAACACCACGAAUUCCACCGACAAGAAUUCCUCCAGCAAUCCUUCAAGAGAUUCCACCAGUAAUACCUCCUUGGACUCUACAGGGAUUCUUCACGGAGUUCUUCCAGGAAUUUCUCAAGGAAUUCUGCUGGAAAUAACUACAGAAUGUCCUCCUUGAAUUCUGUCACGGCUUUCUCCAAGAAUUCUCCCAGAAAUGUCUCCAGAAAAACUCUCGAGAAAUUUUUGCAGAACUUCUUGGUGGAAUUUCUAUAGGAAUAGUAGUUGUUUGUUGUGGUAACAUUCCUGGAGGAAUUCCUGACGAAAUAUUUAGUGUAAUUUUUGGUAAAAUUCUUGGAAGAAUUCCAAUCAAAAUACCUACAGGAAUUCUUGGCGGGUUUCCUAGAUGAACUCCCAGUAGAGUACCUGAAUGGAUUUCUGGUGGAAUGGAUCAAUGAAGCAAAGUUUGUUUGUUUUUGCUGCAUUAAAACAAAGGCACCAUCUCAUAUGGACUUCAACACUGUGACAGCAGCCGAGUUAUGUCAAACACACAAGGCUACUGUGGCGCUAUCUAUUCAUUCCAUAGCGGCCGUUUUAGUUAUAUUAGUGUUCCAUUCCAGGAAGAACUCCUCGUGGCAUACCUGGAGAAAUUCUUGGAAGAAAUAGUAGAUGUAUGAGAAAUUAGAUCACCAAUGGCGCUGUAGCCAAUAAAUUAAUUAAUUUUAUUUCAUACCUCAGAUGUAUUUAUCCAUUAUUUUUAAAUACACAUGUUGUUGUGGAUGUUUUGUUUUGGUCAUGAAAAUUGGUUUGGCACUUUUAGGACCGGUACUGACGCUGUAAGGGCGUGGCUAACUAGAUGUUUGUCACACGAACGCUCGUGACAUUGACAUUCUGUGGCUAGUUAAUCUACUGAAGAAACCCUCAAGGAAUUUAUGGUGGUUUACUAUGCGUAUUUUAUUAAGGAAUGUCUUUUGGGAUUCACGGUCCAUUUUUUAAAAGAAUUAGGAGUAAAUUCAGGUAGAAUUCCUGGAGGAAUUUCUGUUGGAAUUUGAGGCGGAUAUCUUGGUGAAACUCUUUGAAGAAUUCUGGGUGUAACUCGUGCAGGAAUAUUCGGAAGAAUUUCUGGAUGAGUUCCUUGUGUAAUUCCUAGAGUGAUUUCUGGUAGAACUCCAGAAAGAAUUCUUGCUGUAGUUCCUGGAGAAAAUUUUAAUGAAAUUUUUGUAGAAAAUCCUGAUGAAAUGUUUGGUGGAUUUUUUUGGGCGAAAUUCGGGAGGAAUACUUGAAGGCACUCAUAGAAUUCAGCCUAAGAUAAAAAAAAAUCUUCUUUGUUUACACAAAGCGUUCUUGCUGAUGCUUCCGUAAAUAAAUCAAUUCCGAUGUUUGCUUGGAUGGUAUUCCGAUGAUGCAUCAAAGUACCCUUUUGUGUGUGAAGACCCCCGCUCGAUAAUCCUUGAACGAGUAGGUAGCUGGGUAGGUAGUAGGCUGUGUGAUGUGCCGAUGAUAGAUUGCUCGAACGAGCAGGAAAGUUUCAUUGUUUUCAGCGAUUGAAUGAAAACGCGUAACCCAUCAUGUAGGUACAUAUACGGAUAUCGGUCGAACGAGGUCGUUCGAUAGUAAUUCUGCGCCUGCAACCUGCACAAUUGAUUGGACGACGGCCUACCGGCUCGUCCUAUCCUGCUGUCCUGUCCGAGGAUGGGUCGAGCUGUAAUUUGAUUAAUUACUUCCCGGCUCACUGGGAUGGAAGAACAAACAUCUCUUUUUCUCGUCGACGACCCACUACUCGUCGUCGAGGACAAUGUGGAUUGUGCGUGUAUGCUUGGUUCGCUUCCAGGCAUGGUAAACGCAGCACAGUCAACGCAUACUAAGAUGGGAUCAUGCGAACCAUAAACUUCCAACGGCAACGUGCGUUCUUAUCGAUGCGUCCAAUUCGCGCGCGCGAUGGGGUUACUAUCGCGCGGGAAAUGUGUCAUGCCCCAGACAAAAAAUGAGAGCCACGAAAUCCGCCCUGAUCCGGUCAUUUGUUUUGGAUGCCGCAUCAGCUGCUGUUCUGUGCUGGUUAUCAUCCUCUUCUGAACGACGGAAACCACCGAGCGACCGCGCUAAGAGGCCAUUGCCUCUCUACUUAUGGCAUGUGAUGUUCACUCCUUGCUCGCGUGAUGAUAUGAAGAGGGAGCCAAUAAAUUCUUAUUUGCUGAUGGAGCAUGAAGCACAGCACAGCAAACCUCGUAACGUCAUCAUUCGCAAUUGUUCAACGAGAGGGAAGUUAAUAAUAGCGUGUGUAUUUACGUUAUCCGUUGGUUUUAUGGCGGUCGAAUGUGUGACUGAAAUAGAAUGGGCUGAAGUUUGGCGGUGGUGAAGAUGGAUCCACUUUUUAGAGCGAUUUUGGAAAGAAUUAGAAAAUGAUUGAUCCUGUCGUUAACGGCAUUGUUACUAGUCUGAGCUUAAAAUUGGUGAAUCAAUCAAUCAUUACGUGUUUUCUGGUUGUAUUCAUGUAUGAAGUAAAAAUACCGUUUAUAUUUUAGCAGUGCUUUCUGUAGAACUAUUUACGUUGCUUUCUUUAUUUUUUUGUGAGUUUUAACUUAAAGCUAGUUCUUCACUCAUAUUGUUUAUGUUGUUUGUGUUGUUUAAGAUGUUAGUAACCCUACUUACAGGGUUACGGGAACGAUUGUAAUUCCCAUUCAUCUGCCCGGCACGUAAUUCAACAUCUUUUUACGAGUAGGACAAUCCCAAAAGUAGUCUGAUGUUUCUUUCACCGGACAAUCAUAUUAAGCGUGAGAAGUAUCACCAAAAAUCAUACAUUUGGAAAUGGCAUAUUAUGUGAAUUCCUAUGAAUUUUAUUCGGAAUAAUUUUAUGGCAUUCCUUUGUUAACCAAGCAACACACUUGGACAUUAAUAAGUUCCUAUAAUUUUUAUGAAACUAUAUUGAAAGUUAUGCCAUUUGAACCAAUUGUCUUAUUAACGACUAAAUUACAACGAAAAAAGCGCAAGAGGUGGAGCCAAUAUAAAACAUCCAUUUGUAUUAUAAGUGGUAUAAAUACGCAAUCGAUUUAUAACCAAGUUACAACAUAUAGUCGACUAACAAAUUUUGACCAAUUUGACAACUAAUCAGCUAGUCGCCACAUUCGUGACUGUCAGUAAUUAUGCAUCAACAGUUUCGUUCAUGUGAUAAAUAAUUGUGUACCGCAAAUAAUGGGUAGUAUGGAGAUCGCAAGCAAUUUCUUGGCAUAUCUCGAUGCGUGGGAGAUUCAGGCAUAGAAUUGCUCAAGAAAUGAGACAGCGUCGCUUUAUUCUGGAUCCUAGUACGGAGCUGAAACGAAACUUCAAAUCAAAUGGGGCUUGCUGUGUUAAAUUUCUUGACCAUUCCGGUCAUGGAAAAUUAAUGCACUGAACGAAAAUUAUUAUUUAUUGGCAACUCAUGCAUUAUUUAUUGGCAACUCAUGCAUUCUGAUUCCGUAUUUACAACGCGCCUCAGUCUACUCAUCAUUUGGCGAGUGAAAAUUAAAAAAAAAUGGUGAAAAUUAACUCGGCAUAUUGCUUUGAUGGAGUUCAUUUCAGCAGCUUAUUUAAUGCACCCGUAAAAUGCUGAUAGUAAUUCAAGAAUUUUUGGUUUGCUAAAUCAUGUUUAUGGGAAUAAUAAUGGGACAAAUAUGAUGCUGUCAACCAAGGGGAUGUCAUUUUAUUACGUAAGAGGAAUUACACGUUUUCUGGACCUCUCCUCCACAUUUUGUGAGAAUUUUCGUAGGAACUCCAAAUAUUUUGUACGGUGAAGAUGAUUAAAUUUACGAAUUUUAUAUUUAACAAACAGAAUGCUGUACAAAGCUGAAAUUUUACCUGAUUACGAAUCAAAGUUUGUUUCAUCAAAUACAGUUUGGGAAGCUUUAGAACACGACUCUGAAUAAUCGAGUGGUAUCAGUAAUUCAGUACUGCGAAAAUUAUGCAUAAUUUGUUUGUGUUCUUAAAACAAUAUUAUUUUUAAAUUUUAUACCUUUAAUUUUAUUAAUUUAUGAAAUAUGUCGAUAAAUUUAUGAAGAAAAAGUUACAUUUUAUUCGUACAUGAUUUUGUUAUUUUAGAACAUUUUAGUUCUUAUAGUGCACUUUAUAUUUUUCAUAAUCGUCAAAAUCUUUUGUCGUGCAUUUUGCAGCUUCUGCUUCACCUGUCAUAUUAUGUUCUAAAUUAGUUCCAAGUGCAACAUGUUUAUAACCAGCAGAGUCAAUGUUUUUGUUUGUAAACGGUUGUAACAAAGUUUCGAUGAAACAAUCAGAUUAUACCUCAGUUACAAAUUGGUCUUGCAAGUUUCGACUAACAACAACGUUUGUUUUCAUUUCGCUAGUUGUUACAAACAUGUUAUACCUCAGUUUGGCAUUAACAACAGGAUUUUCUUAAGUUUUGAUUUUGUUUUUAUUUUCUGAAUCUAAAUGAAAACAUCUGAAAUCACAUUAUGACUAUAUAAUAACUCGUUGUUUCAUGAAAACUCAGUUGCAACAUUUUUGCAACGAUGAUAAUUUCCAUUUUAGUUGCAGGUGUUACUAGGGUAAUGUAUUUGGAUUUUUUUUCGGUGAUUUGUGGAAAUUCCCUUAAUAGAAAUUUUGAGAAUGUCUUCGACAAUGUAAUGUCUUUGGGAAUUCUCUUGAAAAAUCCUUUGUAUAUGUGUUUAGUAAUGCCUAUGCAAUUUGUUCGUCAAUUUUUUUGAGAAUUCCUCUGGUAAUUCUUCUGAAUAUGGCUUCAACCAUUCCUUCAAAAAUUUUCUCGGCAAGGAAAUGGGAAUUUUUCCGGUAGUUUAAUUGAACUAUGUUCAGAAAUUCCUUUGGGAACUCCAACGCAAUUUCUUUGAAGCUUUUUUAGAAAUUUCAUUUUAAACUCUUGCGGUAAUUCCUUCACUGAUGCCUUUGAUAAUUUGAAUACAAAUUUUAUUGAUUCUUCUUUUGUCAUUCCUUUGUAUGUAAUUUUAUUUACCGUUAUUUUCCAAAAACUGCAACUCCAUUGGGGAUUUCUUCGGCGACUUCGUGGAAAAUCUAUUCGAAAAUUUGUUCAUGUAUUGCAUGAGUUAAUAACAACAUUUUACAGCAAUUCUUGAAAAAAAAAUACUCCAGCAAUACUUUGUAAAUUCCUGUGGCAUUAUUGAGAGAUUUACCAAAGAAAUUGCCAGGGGAAUUCCUAAUGAAGUUUCCCAACAAAAGCGAAAAAAAUUCCGAGAAAAAUCUUAAAGAAAUUGGCAAAGGAAUUACUGAAGGAAGGAAUUUCCGAAGAAAUUCUCUCAAAAUUUCCAACCUAUUGAACCGGAUUAUAAAAAGUUGUGUACUACCCGAGCCGAGGAGAAUAGAUUGAUUGAUAACAACAGAAUCACAUAGCCUGUUUUUAUAUCAUAAUUUGCUAAUGUAAACUUAUCAAAAUAUAUCUUUUUAAUAACAUGUUUUGUUGGGCAAUCUUAUUUUGUUAUACUCCAAUUUUUGGGAUAUAUCCACAAGAUAACAUUUCAAUAAUAUGUUUUGUUGUAGAGCAUGUUUAGUUUUUAUUCUGCUAUAGAGAAUGUACAAAUAUGUGAUGAAGAGUAACACAACAGUAACAAGUUCACAAAUUUCCUGUUAUUAAGUUGUAAUUGAUCUAAUUAAACAUGUUAUUGAAUUAUUCUUCUGGGAACAUUUUUUUUUGUUAUGAUAUUUGUUAUUUUGCCGCUUAUGACAGAGAAGUUUAUAACAUAAUAUGUUAUGCAAAUAACAUAAAAAUUACUGAUUCCAUUAUACAGUUAUUAGGUCAAAAUAACAUAUUUUAUUAUGCUUUUGAUAUUUGCUUCUGCUCGGGUACACUUAAAUUUACGUUCUUUAAAUUAACCAUUUAGUUGACUUCAGUCUUAAGAAAUUUUAUUGGAUAAGCCAUUGCGAAUAUUGCUCCAAUUUACUUACAUUUCUAUGAACACUAGAAAUUCUUUCGCUCACUUUUUUGGAAAUUUUUAAGGCAUUUUUUUUAAGAAUUUCUUCCACAAAUCUUUCGACAUAUUCAUUGUGAGUUCUUUUGUAAAUUUGUCGGAAAAUUCCUUUGGAAAUUUUUAAAUAUCCAAUUAGAAUUACUGGAAGAAUUUUCAAAUGAAUUUACACAUGGAUUGCGAUUUCCAAAAGAAUACCCGAACGACUCUGGAAAUGAAAUUUCUUAGUCCAAAGAAAUUCCCGAUAGAAAAGCUUAAAUGUAUUUGCCUGAAUAAUUUUCAAAUAAACUGCAAAUAAACUUACUAAAGAGAAUUUCGAAGCAAUUUUCAAAGGAAUUGCCUCAGGUAUUCCAAAAGCCAUUACUGAAAAAAUCAGUACAACAUUAUCUAAAGAAAUCAUAAAAAUUUCAGAAGAAAUCCACGAAAGUACUUUUUGAAUUCCUUCUGCAAGAAGUUUUGAGCGGAAUUACCGAAUGAUUUCAGAAAGAAAUUUCCGACGGAAUUUCGAAAUGCGUUGACGCAGAAGUUUCCAAAGGAAUUACAAGGAAUGAUACAAACACAAAUACGAAAUUACACGAAACAGUAUUAAACUUGAUUUUUUUGUUAACAGUUAUGCAGAUAGCACUACUUUAAAAAACGAGAAUCGUAAACUUCUAUCAACGACCAAAAUCCUCAAAUAAAAUUCAAAUAGAGUGAUUACGGAGCAUGAGAUGUUGAGCAAGAUGCCCCUUUACAACUUUGCUUAAAAAUAGAACAAAAAUCGAUUUCAAAUCAUCAGCGUCAAAAAAAAAUUCCGCUCUGCUGUAUUUUUUUACGUUUUUGAACUCAGGUGCUCCAUUAAAAAUGAUCAUCAGUUAAAAAAACUACAAGACUACAUAGCAUGAUAAAUUUCCAAAGAAAGUUGCGCAGGGGACCCAUAAGAAUUGCCAAAGAAAUCCACAAAGUCACUACUGCUUGAAAGCUGUCACUGAGAGAUUUGCCAAAGAAAUUACUGGAGGGAUUUCCAAAUAAAUUUCCAAUAAAUUGGCAAAUUAAUUUUCGACAAAAUAACCGAGAAACACCUAAAGAAGUUGAAGAAGACAUUUCUAAAAGAAAUGAAUAUCCUACGAAAAUCUCUAAAAAAAAAUCUAAUCUCUUCUUCUCGGCGUAAGGUCCUAAUUAGGACAAAACCUGCUUCUCAGCACUCCCACAGUUAUUAACUGAGAGCUCAACUCUGUCAAUGACUAUUUUGGAUGUGUAUAACCAAGUCAUUCCCAUGAACAUUUUGGAAAUUUCUUUAGGGAUUUUCUCGAAAAAUCCUUUAUUAAUUUCCUCAGCAAUGCCUUUGCAAUUUGCUCGCCGAUUUCUUUGGUAACUGUUUUAGAUUUUGCUACAUCGAUUUUGUUAAAAAAUCAUUCGGCAAGAAAAUGCGAUUUCCUCCGGUAGUUUAAUUAGAUCUUGUUUCUUUAGAAAUUUCAACACAAUUUCUUUCUUACUUUCUCGGUAAUUCCAUUUCAAAUUCUUACGAUUAUUCCUUUAGUAAUGUAUUUGGAAAUUUCAAGGCUAUUUUAUUGAGGUUCUUUUUGUCAUUCCGCUGAUUUUAACUAUUUUGACAUUAUUUUAUAAGCUAUCUUUGCAAAUGCCUUUGAAAUAUUUUUUAUGUAUUGUCAAAGAAAUAUUAUUAAAAUUUAUACAGCAUUGGUUUCAGCAGCCCUUUGGUAAUAAUUUUCUACGAAAAUUACAUACGCAGUAGAAUUUUUUUUUUUCAAUCAUUUAUUUGGAAAUUUCACAAGAAAUUAUUUAAAGAACAUCUUCCACAACUCUUUCCAUAAUCUUUUUUUAGAAUAUCUCACAAGACAGGAAGUAGCUUCCGGAUUUUUUCGGAGUUUUUUUUCUAAAAUUUCUUUAUGGAUGCCGACCACAAUUGUCUUCAGAGUUCUUCAGGAAUUUCUUUCAGAGUUCUCCGGCUCGGAAUUCGAAAAGCCCCAAAAGACAACAAAGUCUCGACGAAUUACACUGAAAAAAAUGAUGACAAAACAGUCAGGUCUCUAUCAUUUAAGCGGCCGCGUGAAUCUAAACCGCGUAAAAAAGACCUGACUAUUUUUUAGAGGUUUCUUUCUAAGUGCAAUCCGGAAUCUCUCCCGAAAUAUUCCACCAAGUUCCUUCGUAGAUUUCGUCCACAGUUUCUAUCGCAAUUUAUAUCUGACAAUCUAUGCUAGGAUUUCUGUCAGAGUUUCUCCGAGGUUUCUCUCGGAGUUCUUUUUGGGAUUUUUCCUGGUAUUCCUUCAAUGAUUUCUCCCAGAUUUCUGUUGGAUUUCCUUCAAAGUUUUCUCGCUCGAUUUUCCAUUUUUUUUUUUCUUGAAAAUGAUCCAAAAAUUCACCUAAUUUUCUUACUAUACUUUUCUGAGAGAAUUGCCACUAUUUGUAAAAAGAGGUUUUGGAGAAACUCUGAUGAAUUACAUAAUACAGUGGGUAAUUCUUUGAAAGUCUCCAGGAUGAAUUACUGGAAAAAUUCUAGCAGAAUUUGCGCAACUUAGCGAAAAGAACUUAGAAGGAAUUUGAAAAACUAACUCCAGAAAAAACAAGAAAGAUUUGGAGGACAAAGGAGAAUUUAAUUAUCCUUCAAUUGAAAAAGGAAUCUCGGGAUUUUUCUCAGAAAAAAAGCUUCUAUGACUUCUUCCAGGGCCCGAGGGCCCAUAUAGCCGAGGCGGUAAACGCACGGGUAUUCAGCAUGACCAUGCUGAGGGUGACGGGUUCGAUUCCCGGUCGGUCCAGGAUCUUUUCGCAAAAGAAAUUUCCUUGACUUCCUUGGGCAUAGAGUAUCUUCGUGCCUGCCACACGAUAUACACAUGCAAAAUGGUCAUUGGUAGAGGAAGCUCUCAGUUAAUAACUGUGGAAGUGCUCAUAGAACACUAAGCUGAGAAGCAGGCUUUGUCCCAGUGAGGACGUUACGCCAAGAAGAAGAAGAAGACUUCUUCCACAGUACCUCCCGAGUUUUUUAUUUAUUUUUCUCUAGAUAACUCUUGGCAAUCUUGAGAAAUUGUUGAAGGAACUCCAUGAGAAAACCCUAGAAAAACUACACGAAUAAUCCGCAAACAGUUCCAGAAUGAACUUCAGGAGAAAUUCACAGAGGAAUUAAUGGAUACAUUCUGCAUAGAACCCUGGAGAAAUUCUAAGCAGAAAUUCUAAGAAAUUGAGAAAUUCUUGAAUAAUCCCGCAAUGAACAUUGGAGGUAAACCUGGGGGAGCCAUGCUAGAAGACAGGAGCUUCUAGAGUUAUUAUGCAAUUCAUUGCUCGAUUCAUGCCUACAAGGAAGAAUCCCGGAGAGAUUUCCGGAAGAAGCAUUUUCAGGAACAGCAGUCACAGUCACAGUAGGAACUGUGCGAGAGGUUUUUUAUCAAUCCCUGAAAAAAUCUUGGGCAAAUCUACAGAAGAAACCGCGUCCGCUUUUUAUCCAAUAUAUCUCCUUUUGAAGUCCCUCCCAAGUUUCAUCCAGAUCUCCACAUUUUUUCCUGGAUUUAUUUUUCUGGGAUUUCUACUGCAGUUCAUACCGAUUUUUUUUCUUUUCUAUAUUUUUCCCAUUUUUCUCAACAUACUUCGUACACACAUAUUUGAGAGUUCUGCUUGUAUUCUUCUUGAAAAGUCUCUAAAAACUCUUCCAAGUAACCCUUUUGGAAUUCCACUCACGAAAGCAAAUAAAAUUGAAUAUUGCAAAAACAAAUAUCGAAGAUGAACGCUGGGAAAACUCGUACGGUAAUUUGAGAAACCCUUCAAAAACUUCAGGAAAAAACAAGAAAAAUCUACACAGGAAAUUAUGGAUAGGGGAACUUACGUAUUUUCGGUCGUUUUCUUUUCUUUGUCACUGGUUUUUGAAACCUGUUGAUCUCAAAGUUGACCUCAAAUCAUUCCUAACCAAACUGAAUUAUAUGACCAAGUGUAGGAAAUUCGGUCAGUAAAACCCCCCAUGACGAAGAGAACAAACCAGCCGAUAAUACCCUGAGUCACCCUGAAUAGCAGGAAUAAGUCUAAAGUAGCUCUAGAAAGCAAGGCUGGGAAAAUUAUAGAAAAAAAAUCUGAAAGAAACGAAAAAAGAUAAUUUUCGAGAAGAAUGCUAAAAGAAAUUUCAGGAGAAAAUAAAAAAAAUCUCUGCAGUAACUCUGUAAGAAAUUCCUUAAGGAGCUCAGGAGAAAAUUACAGGAACUAGUUUGAAGAAACUCCUGAACUUUUCCUGGAAUUUUUCUCAGCAUUUCUUCUAGAACUCAUCUGCUCUGCUGUGGAAUUAGUUAAUAUACACAGGAAUAAAAACUAAAUUUAAAAUAAAUCAAGAAUUAAUCAUGAGAUUUCUCAUGGAAUUCCACUGUGAUUUUUUCCCUGGGAAUCCAAAAUUUCUCUACGAGAAGUUCACAAAAGAACUAUGUGAAUUCCUCCUGCAAGGAGUUUUCAAAGAAAUUACCAAAGCAUUUCCCGGAAAAAAAUAAUGGUGGAAUUUCCAAAUGAAUUACAAACAACUUGCCCGAAAAAAAUGUUGGGAGAAUUUUCAAGAAAUUGCAAUGAAUUUUCUAGACGGAUUAUGAAAGGAAUCGUCAAAAGGAUUCCCGGAGUAAUUGCUGGAUAAAUCCUAGUCAAAAUAUACCGAACAAAUCUCAAUAAAAUUAUUAAAAAAAUAAUAAUUACGCAGUUUCAAAAAAAAACUUGAAAGUUUCUCAAAAUGAUUGGCGAAUAAACUCCCGUAAUAACUUUCGAUGAGUUUGCCAAUGAAAUUGCCAAGUUAACUCCUAAAGGAACUGUCAACGCAGUUUCCAAAGGAUUUUUUGAUGAAAUUUUAAAGAAUUUCGGCAGAUUUUUUGAAGAAAUUACCAAAGAAAUUCCCGAAGGGGAUUCAUUUGAAUUGCCAAAGAAAUUCACAAGGUCACUACUGCUUGAAUUUCCAAAAAUAUUACUGAUGGAUUUGCCAAAGGAAUUGCCAGAGGUUCCCCAACAAACGACAAAACAAAUAGAAAAUUCCCAAAUAAAUUGAUAAGGGAAUUUCAGCAGAAAUGCUCAAGGAGUUUUGGAAAAAAAAUCUCAAAAUUUCAAAACUAUUGGGCCAAACUUUAAAUAUUGUGAAGUUUGAUAUUUUCAAAUUUUUAUGAAUCUUUAAUUAUGUACAUAUUUAAAUAUGAACGCUCAUCAUGCAUAGCAUGUUUCUUCAAAUUGUAAAUUUCAACUGUGCAAUCUAUUUUUCUGCAAUUAAUCAUAUGUAUCAAACGUUAUCCAAUCAAAAGGUUUUAACUGCUUAAUUCAAACAGGCGCUCUACGUUUCGCAUUUCAAACAAAAAAAAAGUCAAAAAUACCACAUUUUAACGCACGCAUGAGCAUUUAAAGCGCUUGCAUUACAGUAAAUGCACUCAAAUCAUGAAUUUCCGUGAAACGUGUAAUUCAUGUAAUGAAUUGCACUCAACUAAUUAAACUUACAAUAACGACCACAUUGCCUGCCGGAGUUCUAUAAAUCACAUGAGCCCGCGAAAACAUAGCAGGCCGGCUGAUGGUUUGGUUCUCGAACGGCAUGAGUAGACAGACAGCUGCCAGGAAUAGUCAAUAGUAACGGGAACAUUCAGCGUCACGCUCAUGAUGGCAUAGUUGGCGCACAUUCCACUGUUUCCAACAUUUCGAAGCCUAUUUUUUUCUAGAUCUAGAUAUAUCCUAAAACAGGUGGCAUUUCCGUCACUCAUUCGAUCACCCCGCAAUACGCGAUUGCAGUUUCACAAACAAAAAAAAACGAAUGGCACAAAUGUGAAUUAAAUGGAAAAACCUGAUUGGAAGACAUAAAAAUGGGAUGCAAAGAACUGAUGGCCGCUGCCUGCGGUUAUGUUGCACGUGCCUAGUUAGUCUAUAUGUAGUUGUUUAGCCCGGAUUGCAGACGGAAAUUGUUUUGUCGAUGAUGAGCGUCCUUAUCGCGAUCCAAUUGUCAAACAAACAACUUCAGAGCGGAACGUGUAACUACCUAUAGUUAGUAGAAUUGAAGCAGGCUAUGGCCUACGGGCUCAUGCCGCUGGCUGGUUCAAUCAGAGCAGCCCAUCAAGCACAGCAGCGGCUGCAAUGCCUGCUCCGAUGGAACCCUAUUCAAUUCCCAUGAUCGAUACUACAAUUAAAUAACAAAGUUUGCCCUGUCAUCCAAUCUGUCUGUCCACGGACGGAACGAGCGCCUCUCUUAUGGUACUGAUGCAUACACACUCUUUUUAUUCCGUCGUCGUGGCCCACGGACAGGAUAGGAGGGAAGCUAGCCUAUCUACCUAGACACAUCUUUCGCAACAGACCUAGGGAGAACGUCCUACCUAUGGAGAUGGAAAUGAUGCAGAAGUCCGUGUUCCCUACGUGAUGGAACGGUGUGUGGAGCAAGCGGACAUUAAUGAAUAAACUUAUUUUCCCCUGGGUCGGUAGAUGGGUGUCCAAAUAGACAAAUGGAUGCAACAUUUGUAUCCACGGAAGAACUUCUCCGUGCUGGAUGAUUAAGACCAAUCCAGUUACAUUAUAGGACGUGUAUUGAUUAUGGUUAAUUUGUAUAUCACGGAAGAGAUCUAUCAUAGUUAGCAGUGGGUGAAUGUCAUACAAUCAGUUCUUAAAGAGUGCCAUGGAGUCCUAUGAUUCAACUGUUUUCAAUAGAAAUGUCAACAUAUUUCUUUAUUGCAUGAUACAGUUCUCUGAUCGAGUUAUAUAUUUCUUAGAUUCCAAUCAAGAACCACGUGAAGGGUCUACCGGUAUGGUCUUUAUUGAAUGAACACAAUCCCUGCCUUGUGCUAUGCGGAAUGCAAAAACGCAAUUCAUUUAAUAAUACCUGUCUUGAUUCUUUUAACACUUUGGCAUUGGCAUAACUAGAACAGGAGGGUGUGCGAAUCUCAAUAUUUAAAACAAAUAGUUAUUUUAGAAACCAGUAAUAGUUUGGGAGUUGUUUAUAGAAUUUAACUAGAAAUUGAUUUCCAGAUCCAGAUAAAUAUUGGAGAAACAUUGAAUCAUGAAGGAUUGCCUGUACUGCGAAAAUAUUGAGUUGUAUAAAUACCUUUGGAUGCAUGAAGAUCCUUGUUUCUAUGAAAGAGUAACUGGCAGAGUUCCUGGUGGCUUUUCAUGUGUUCAGAUAUUCAUUGUCUAAAUCUUCAUUCGAGAAAUCCAAGAUAAAGAAGCUCGCAGCAGGCUGUGCGUGCAAGCGAGCGGUUUCAUUUUCAAAUAAUCUAUUUAUCAGGAUUUUUCUCGGCUUUAUGACAGUUUCAAAAACCUCUACAAGACUAUUUGGUCAUUAAAAUGUUAUCUGAGGCAACACCUUGCAACGCGAUGUUGAACAACAGGCAUGAAAGUUCACCAACUCGCCGAGGAUUUACCGCACGGUGAAGAUAUUGUCGAGGAACCGUCGACGAAGCCGGUCUGAUAACUUUCCACGAACUCAUUCACUUUAACAUAACCAGAUCGUCUAUAUUGAAGUUUGAUAAACAUGGACACAAGAAAUGAUGAAUCAUCAAUAGCCUAUAGGAUUAUAUUCACCUCAGAGCAUAACGCUAUAGAAAUGUCCCGAAGGUAUUUGAAGAUAAUACAUUUACUUAAUUAUUUUUUGAACAAUUCACUUCUUAAAACAUAUACGUUCUACUUUUCGCUAAGGCCUGGCUUACCAAAAAGUAUUUUUUUACAGAUACAUAAAAACUUGAUGUCAUGGAUGUUAUCAAAUCCGUGAACUACAUUGAAACAUACUUUUUCAAAUACAGCAUGCUUUAAUCAUUCGAUAUAUCAAAGUUUCAACAAACCGGCAAUAAACAAGAGGAAAUUUAGAAGAAAUCAAUGAAGCAACAUGAAUUCCUAGAGAAUUCUGGAAAAAACUCAGGACAAAUUCUUGGCUGGAUGAUCUUUGGAGAAAAUACCUGUAAGUAUUCUCGAAUAAGCCUUGAAACUAUCUUCUCUAGAGGAAACUCUCGAGGUAUCCCUGGAGGAUUUCUUAAAGAUGUUCUUGGAGGCAUUCCCGGAGAACUCUCAAGUGAAGAAAUCCUUGGAAAUCCACUGAAUGUAUCUGAUGGAAUUGAAGAGAAGAAGCUCGGAGGAACUCCAUUUGGAACAUUUGAGAUUCCUGGAUGAAUCGCUGAAUGUAUUCAUAAAUAAACUUCUGUAGGAAUUCAAUAAGGAACUGGAUGAAUUCCAGAAGGAUUCCAAGGAAAAAUGCCUGAAAGGAUCCAAUUAUUGUAGACGAAAUCCCAGAGUAAACUCUGGCAGAAACUGCUGCAGGAAUUCCUGAACGGAUCCCCAAAAAAUGUUUACUGAACUUCUUGGAGAAACUUUUGGAGAAAUUCCAACAGAAAUUCCCAAAGGAAAUCUCCGUGGGAGCUUCUGAUGAAUACCUGAACGAAUCUGAGAGUGAACUUCUGCAGGAUUUCUUGUAGAAAAUUUAGAAAGAAUUCCAGUAUGAAAUCUUCGAGAAUCUUCUGGCUCCUGAAUGCAUCCCAGAAUUCCUAGACAAAUAGCUGGAGGAAUUCCUCCAGAAAUCCUUGCAGAAUUUUCUAUAAAAAAAACUUAUUGAGUGCAUCCCUAGAAAAAAUGAUUGAAGAAAUUCAAAAAUUUACCCUGAAUGAACUUCGGAAAGAAUCCCAGGAGGAAUACCUAAAUAAAUCCCAAGAGGAAUUUCUGGAGAAAUCCCAGCAGAAUUUCCUGAAAGAUUCUCAUGAGGAAUUCUCGAGGGAAUCCGAAGAAUGGUUUAUGAAGGAAUCCUGGUUUAACCCCAGAUGAAAUUUUCUUUAAGAAAUCCCAGAAAGAUUUCCUAGAAGAAUCCCAGAAGGAAUUCCUAGAGAUAUACCUGGAGGAUAUCCUGGAGAAAUCCCUGGAAGCAUUCCAGGUUGAACCCAUGAAGGAAUUCCUUGCGGAAUCCUUGGGAAAAUUCCUGAACGAAUCUUUGGAGGAAUUCCUCCAGGAAUUUCUUGAGGAACCGUUGGUCGAAUCGAUUCGUCGGCUGGUUUUCGUGAGGUCCGAUGAACGACGGAUCAAAUGUUUAACCUGCGGAUGAUCCUAGAUAAAUUUGGAGAAUAUAACUUGCAGACUCACCAUCUGUUCAUUGAUUUCAAAGCAGCGUACGAUUCAGUGAAUAGAAAUGAGCUUUGGUAGAUAAUGCCAGAACAUGGUUUUCCGGUGAAACUAGUUAGGCUGAAACGCGUAACGCUGGAUGGAUCUAAAUCAAGUAUUCGGAUCGUAAACAAAGUUUGCACUCGAAGCAACGAUUAAGAAGUCGGGUGUGCUGAAGAAUGGCACCAUCAUCACACGGUUGCACAUGAUCCUCGGCUUUGCGGGCGAUAUUGAUCUCAUCGGCAUGGUUCGUAGGGCAGUGGAGGAAGCUUAUGCUCCACUGAAGAGAUUAACUCUACCAAGACGAUGUACACGAUAGCGAGUAAAGACAGAGGCAGAAGGCGUAGUGGUGUUAGUGCUGAGGUAGUGAUUGAUUGGGAAAGUUGUUGAAGAAUUUGUUUAUCUUGAGACACUUGUGACAUGUGACAAUGACGUUUCCCGUGAAGUGAAAAGGCGUAUUGCAGCUGAGAAUAGGGCGUUUUACGGAUUGCGCAACCAGCUAAGGUCCCGUAACCUGCAAACGCAAACGAAUUUCGCUCUAUAUAAGACUCUGCUGCUUCCGGUUGCCCUCUACGAUCACGAGGCGUGAACGUUAAAGGAGGUAGACCGAAAAGCUUCCGCAGCUUUUGAGCUCAAAGUGCUGCGGACAAUUCUCAGCGGGAAACAAGAAAAUAAAGUGUGGCACAGACGCAUGAAUCAAGAGUUGUACCAAGUGUACAAAAAUGUGAAUAUUGUGAAACUUUUGAAAUACGACAAACUUCAGUGGGCUGGACACGUAGUGCGAAUGUCGGAAGAAAGAAUAGCGAAAACAAUAUUCAGCAGGGAACCAGGUAGAGGUCGUUGACUUCUUGGGUGGCCGCGAACGCACUGGCUGUACGCGGUUGAAGAGGAUCUGCGAUCCCUACACGUUAGGGGAAACUGGAGGAACAUCGCCCAACACCGACGAAGAUAGUGCUCUACUAUACGAUCGGCUUUGGAGUAAAGUUUCUUUGUAGCCAACAAGGUAUCAAGGUAAGGUACCUUGGGAAAAUACUUGGAGGAAACCAGUAUCCAGGAUCCAAAUCCUUGGAGGAUUUUCUGAAGUAAUGCCGGUAAUAAUUCCUGAUGGAAACCCAGGAGAAAUUUCAGAAGGAAAUCCAGGAGAAAUUCUUGCAGUAAUAACAUGCAGAAUUCGUGAAGGAAUCUCAGAUGUCGUUACUGAAUUAAUCCCAGGAAGAUUUCCUGAAGGAAUUCCUAAAGCGAUUCCUAGCGGAAUCUCUGGUGGGAUUCCAGGAGGAAUUCUUGGAAGAAUCCCUGGAGAAAUCCCUGAAGGAAUUCCGGAAGGGUUCUCAGGUAGGUGAAUGGUUCUCAGGAGGAAUUUCUAAAAUCCUGAAGGAAUUUCUUCUAGGAAUUCCAGGAAUUCCAGGAAAAAUUCCUUACGCAAACCCAGAAGGAAUUCCUGAAGCAAUUGCAGAGAAAUUAUUUAAGUAAUAAAAGGUAGAAUUUCUGAAGGAAUCUUGAAGUAAUUCCUGAAGAGAUGUCCAGGAGGAUUAAAAAAAAUCCUAGGAGGUUUAAAAAAAUCCCAGGAGAAUUUCCAGAAGGAAGUCCUAGAGGAAUCUCCGGAGGGAUUCCUGAAGGAAUCUCUGAAGAAAUUCAUGGAGGAAUACCUGAAAAAUCCCUGAAGAAAUUUCUGGAGGAACACCUGGAGGAAUUGUUGGAGAAAUUCCGGGAGGGAUUUAUGGUGCAAUCUUUGGCGGAAUUCCUGUAAUAUUUCUUAUCGGAAUUCUUGGAGAUUUUACUGGAGGAACCAUACGAGGAUUUUCGAAAACAAUAAAAAACAAAGAAUUAUUGGUGAAACCUUCGAAAUCCCGGAAGCACCCCUUGGAAGAUUCUCUAUGGAUAUUUCUGAACGAAUCACAGAAGGAAUUCCUGGAGGUAUUCCUGAGGAAAUCAUAGGAGGAAUUCAUGAAGAAACCCCAGGAGGAACCCAGAACCCAGAAUAGAUUUCUAAACGAAUCUCUGCUAGAAUUCCUGAAGGAAUCUCUGGAAAAAAAACUGAAAGAAUGCCUAUCCCAAGUAACCAAAAGUUCCGCUUCCCAUGACAAAAUACACUUUCAAGUUCCGCGAAGUUCAGAUAAAGUUCCAAAUGGAACUUUCUGGCUGCUUAAGAGGCUAACGAUGAGCCUUGCUGAAACUUCGGUCGCAAGUUCCGGAGAGACUCAUUGUUAGCCUUUUAAGCAGCCAGAAAGUUCCAUUCGGAACUUUAUCUGAACUUCGCGGAACUUUGAAGCUGCUUAAGAUGCUACUCGGAACUUUGUCGGAACUUUCAAGUUCACAGAAGUUCAGUUCAGUAGCAUUGUGUUUCAAUGAAGAUUAAAUGUAUAUCUUUUACAGAAAACAACUAUUUAAGCAUACACGAAUAAAAGACAAAUAUGAAUUUAUCAAAUCAAUGAAUAUAAGCUUGAGCAAAAAAAAAAUUGCCGCCCAUCGGAUUCAAACCAAUAGUCGCUGUGUGAGAACCCUACGCUCUACCACAGUACUACAGUUGCGUGAACAGCAGGUAAAGUCUGACUUGAAUCGAUUUUCUGUCAGCAGCUAGUUUUGCAUAUUUGUACAAUAGUGAAGUUAGCUUGACUUUGUCAAGUGUCUUCAGCAGCGCAGCGGUAAGUCGGCAGGCUAUCACGCAGGAGGAUUCAGUUCAAAUCUUCAUAGCAGCGACCUGUGUGAAAAUAUAAUUAUCAAAAACAAUUUCCAGACAUGAAUCACAAACCCACCAACAGAGUUGUGAUUCAGAAAAAUACAUUUUUGUUUCUGCAUGAAUUUUCUGUCAGAAGCUUCUUAGAAAGCUAUCCAGCGUGCUUAUGUGAACUUUCAAGUUCCAAAAUUACUUAAAAAUGAAGCUGCUUAGAAGGCUAAUGAGCAACCUCGAACAAGCUGCUUAACUUAUAAAGUAAAGUGGUUAUUUGGGAUAUGUCUGCAGUAAUUUUUAAACGAUUUACUGAAGAAAUUCCUGGAUAAACUCCUAAAGGAUUCUUUGUAGAUUUGUGCAAAAAAAAUGAAGGAAUUCUCAGAUUAAUUUAAGAAUCAUCUUUGGCAGAUUUUCUGAAAAAAUCCUGCUGAAAUACUUCCAGAUGGAAUUGUUAGGGGAAUCAUUAUCGGAACUCUUGCAGGAAUACUCGUAAAAAGCACUGAAACGAUCAUUGGAGGAAUCUCCAAAGGCAUUCCUGGAAAAAUUACCAGAUGAAUGUCUGGUAAAAUCUCUAGGGGAGUUCCUGAAGGAAUCUCUGGAGGAAUCCAUGUUGGAAUUACUGAAAAUAGCCAUGGUAAAUUCCUGGAGGAAUUCUUCAUGCAUACUUGCAGAAGUCUGAAGAAAUCGUGGGAGGAAUUCUCGAAAACAUUUUUGGAACAAUUAGCCCUCAAAAACAAUCAUAUCGGAAUCCUGCAAGGCAUCCAUGGCGGAAUUCAAGAAGGGGCAAUUUCUGGAGUCCCUUGAGAAAUUCUUGAAGGGACCCCUGGUGGCGUUCCUGAAGAAAUACCUGAAGGAAUAUCUGGAAGUGUUCCUGUGGUGAAAUUUAUAAAGAAACUCCAGCUUAGCUGUCCUUAGCAAGACGUUUGUUUGAAUUGAAAUACUAGGUAGUAAAAAUUUGUAAAUUUUGAGCCAAUGCAAAUGCGUGCUGCGAUUGAAGAGAAACAGUUUCUUGAAAUAUUCAGGCAAGAAAUAUCUCAUGGAUCAAAAUAGGCUGAGAAAUUCCUUCCGAAACAGCAAAAUUCAUACUAGAAAUUGCUCAAGAAAUGAGCAAGAAAGGGCAGGAGAGGGUAAAAGAUAUUAUGUCCACGUGGUAAAUGGAUGGCCCGGCUUUAUACACGUGCGUGUCAUGUACAGAAGAUUACCAUUCAUGAAGAAAAUGGAAUGCAAUGGAAAGCUCAAAAUCUAUAAGGCAUAACGGAUCCGUUUUUCUUUUCAAGCUAAUUAAGCAAAACGCGGAAAAGUUUCCAAUUUAUGCACCAGAAAGGUCACCCCGUUCGAGUCCAAUUGCCUAUGGCGAUUGGCCGGUUCGGUUGGUUCCGGUGGUACGCCAGCGAAAAAAAAAUCCCCAAUGGACCUACACCCUCAGGAACGUGACGCCGAACGGCCGCGGCAGCGACCUUGUUGCGCGAUAGAUACCUACCUUCAACCCGCGCGCCGACCGCCGCAGGUACCGAUAAUAAAUUUACUGAAGCGCCACUGCUGACUAUUUAUGGCGGUGCGAAAAAGGAACAAGUUGGUGUCAUUAAAUUUUUUUUAUGUGUAUUCUUUUCUCCUCGGGACGCCACGACGAAGGCGACGGCGGUGUGGGAGGGGGAACGUCGGGUGCUCCCACAGUGUCGGUUACAAAUGGCGCCCAAUAAAUUAAAAGCUUCGAGGAAAAUGCUGCUCACAGCUUGCUGGGGAUGAAAAAGAAGAUACCGGAAAUACUCACAUUCCAUCGAACAAAUGAACCAACGUCGCGAGGGAGCAAAAAAAUAAAACGUGCAGCCACUCACCACCGCCGGGGAAUGGGAGAAAAUAUAACAAUCAAAGUGGCAUUAAUACCAUUAUGAAAAAGAGAGACAUUGGAAAAUUAUUAACGACAUAAUGGAUCAUGUCCUUUUUGCAUCGUUUCUCCAUCCGGUCCCGGUGUGCCGGCUCUGUUUUCCUUUUUUUCUAUGCUUUUGCACAUGAAACCAAUUCCGCCGCUUGCUGCGAUUGCAUCAGAUAGCCGGCGAAGGAAAAGAAGAUGCUCCACAGCAUUGAUAAUCAAAAAAUGCAGCUUGCUUUGUUUGUCAGCUGGAGCGAGAAUAAAAGCGCUCUUGUUCCGGAGAAUGUUUGUUUGAACAGAUUGCACCCGUCAGAUUGUUUUGUAAUUGUAAAUAGUUUGCUUUGCUGUUGUUGCAAACCGGUACCCUAGCAGCGAUAAAACUAUCCCGUUCGUUUGUGAGCUGCAAUCUCAUGACAGCAAAGCAAUGGAAUGGAGACGCAUGGUGUGCCAUAUUGGCGCGAAAGAACGACAAAAAAGUAUGGCAUGUGAAACUGAUUCCAUGAAAUGGAUUGCUAGGAUUUGUGUCACAACGAAGCUGUAUCGUUUUGGCGAUUAACAUUAUCGAGCUGAAUUGGUAGAAUUACAUUCCAAUUUCUAUUGUCUUGCUGGAUGUCGCGAUAAACAUUACUUAACAUUGCUUUAUUUAACAUUGUUCCAUCCGCCGUUGAAAUCAACACACUAGGAUUUUAUUUCUCAGAAAUAGGUAUAAAAUCAAUAUAAAAAACAUUUUAUUGCAAGCAAACAAUGUACUUUACUGUUAUUUUUUGGUACAAACAUUAGGGCAACUUCACUGGUGGUCCAUUUUUUGUUCCAAAUUUGUACCAAUUUAGGACCGUUCCAAAUUAAAUAGACCAAAGAAAAUAGACCAAACUGCUCGUGAACGCACCGGUUGUUCUAAAUGAGUCGGUCUAUUUCAGUGUAAACAAUAACAGACAGCAAAUUUAUUGAGGACGUUGCAGCAGAUGCUAAUAUUUUGUGUAUUUUGCAAAUAAUCUUGAAUUCCCUGAGAGGAAAUAUUGAAGAAUUUCUCGUGACGAAUGGUUGGGGGUUUUCCCCGAAGGAAUUGCGGAAAAAAUCUGCGGCAUGAACUGCAGGAGGAUGUCCCAGAAGAAAAAAUGGCGACAGAAAUUGUCAGCUAAUACUGGAUGGAACGAUUCCCUAGAGGAUUUCCGAAGGAAGUCCUGAAAGGAUUCACAAAGGAAGUCCUGCAAGGAUUCACAAAGGAAGUCCUGCAAGGAUUCACGAAGGAAGUCCUGCAAGGAUUCACGAAGGAAGUCCAGCAAGGAUUCUCGAAGGAAGUCCUGCAAGUAUUCACGAAGGAAGUCCUACAAGGAUUCCCGAAGGAAGUCCUACAAGGAUUCCCGAAGGAAGUUCUGCAAGGAUUCACGAAGGAUAUGUCUUGCAAGGAUUCACGAAGGAAGUCCUGCAAGGAUUCACGAAGGAAGUCCUGCAAGGAUUCACGAAGGAAGUCCUGCAAGGAUUCACGAAGGAAGUCCUGCAAGGAUUCCCGAAGGAAGUUCUGCAAGGAUUCACGAAGGAUAUGUCUUGCAAGGAUUCACGAAGGAAGUCCUGCAAGGAUUCACGAAGGAAGUCCUGCAAGGAUUCACGAAGGAAGUCCUGCAAGGAUUCACGAAGGAAGUCCUGCAUGGAUUCACGAAGGAAGUCCUGCAAGGAUUCACGAAGGAAGUCCUGCAAGGAUUCUCGAAGGAAGUCCUGCAAGUAUUCACGAAGGAAGUCCUACAAGGAUUCCCGAAGGAAGUCCUACAAGGAUUCCCGAAGGAAGUUCUGCAAGGAUUCACGAAGGAUAUGUCUUGCAAGGAUUCACGAAGGAAGUCCUGCAAGGAUUCACGAAGGAAGUCCUGCAAGGAUUCACGAAGGAAGUCCUGCAAGGAUUCACGAAGGAAGUCCUGCAUGGAUUCACGAAGGAAGUCCUGCAAGGAUUCACGAAGGAAGUCCUGCAAGGAUUCACGAAGGAAGUCCUGCAAGGAUUCACGAAGGAAGUCCUGCAAGGAUUCACGAAGGAAGUCUUGCAAUGAUUCACGAAGGAAGUCCUGCAAGGAUUCACGAAAGAAGUCCUGGAAGGAUUCACGAAGGAUAUGUCUUGCAAGGAUUCACGAAGGAAGUCCUGCAAGGAUUCACGAAGGAAAUCCUGCAAGGAUUCCCAAAGAAAUUCUUGCAAGAAAUCCCGAAUAAAUUUCUUCAAGGAUUCACGAAGAAAUUCCUGCAAGGAUUCCCGAAUAAAUUUCUGCAGGGAUUCGACGACAAUAAUAAAAUAUAUAUAUUUUAUUAUAAUAAAAUGACUCUCCGGAGAUGAACAAGCUUGUUAAACUCUCAAGACACCACAAUGACCGACUUUUGAAUUUACUCAAGAUUUUAAUAAUCUCAUGGAAAAUCUGAACCUGAACCUGAUCUUCUUGUUUCAGGUUUAUUACAAAAAGCAAGAAUAAAAUAAUAAUACACUAUUGUUAAAAAUUUUCAGGGACUUAAUGGCUUUCAUUAACAGAAUAGCGCUGAUGAAGAUCGAAGUAGGCUGAAGUAUGCUAAUUCAGUCACAGAAAAGCGUUGAUUAUUUGUGAUCAUUGCCAACGUUUCGAACAUUCUCUUAUGAAACAAAAUCCACCGGAUUCAAGGUCCAUAUUACGGAUGCGGUUGUGCAACAGCGAAAAAGCAAAACAAAAACAAUCAACAAAUCGCCACGAUUGUUUACAAACAAUCGUCAAACGACCGCAGGCUGGCUGACUGAUCCGAGCGGGGGAUGAUUGAUGCAACUACCACAACAAAAUGUUGUGCAUCAAGUUGUAUAAGUACAAAAUCAAAGUCCAAACGUUGUAAUCAGCGCACCGAGAGUUGAGUGCUUACCAGGAAAUGACCCUCACUGAGUUGGAGAUAAACAAGUUGCAAAAGAUAGGAUGAGUUUUGCUAGAUUGGGUUUCUGUUAUUUAAUAGAUUACUACACAGUUGUUCAAAUCCACUUGAGUUUUUUCCUAUUUCUGAUUCGUGUCUAUAUGAGUAUUAACAAUUCGAAACAUUUCGAACAUUAUACCUUAGAAAAUUAAUGUCAUAUGCCGACGCAUGCAAAAGCUCUAUGUGAUAUUACUGUGUAUGCCCAAUUGGGGAAAUUUAACGUAGUUAUUUAAAUUUAUGAUUUUCCAUCAAAUGUUCUAUUUUCUUCUAAAAAAAAUGAAUUCAUUUUUCUGCAUACAGGGCUGUUUGUAGUUCAGAAAGAAUUUCUCGGCCUAUCUUGAUGCAUAGAAAAUUCCUUGCCUGAAUCGCCCAAGAAACUAUUUUUUUUUUUCUAUCGCAGUAUGCUGUUGCGAAGAAAUGACAAUUCAAUGGAUCAAUGAAGCCAACUGUUCUUUCGUUCACCACAUGUAAACAAAGGCGCCACCGUAUAUGGACGUUAACAUUGUGACAGCAGUCGAGUUAUGUCAAACACACAAGGCUACGGUGGCGCUAUCUGUUCAUUUCAUAGCGGCCAUUAUAGUUAUUUUAGUGAUCCAUUGACAUUCUACGUAGCAAGUUUUUUGAUCGAUUCAUUUUGGGACAAAAAUAAAACAGAAGACAAAAUAUAGAAGAGCACAUAAGAUCACCUAGUUUUAGACAAGUCAUGCUCUGACGUGUACAUUAAAAAUUGAUAGUAAAUCGACAACUUUACGAAUCACCUUAUGUACACUUAUGAUUAGGAAGUCAAUAACCUAAUCUUGUCAGAAAACAACAAAACUAGGAUGGCAAACUAUACCCGUUUCCACUACGAAUUAUAACUAAUCACAAAGGGUUAGUAAUGCUCAUGCACCAACUAAAUCAGACCGGACAGUACUAGGUCCAACCAGCAGCAACACGCACUGUUAUCAACCCUCCACAGAAACUAUCAAGUUUCGCCUCGUCAUCAUCAUCGCCGUCAUAAUCAUUUACAGAAGUGACGUGAAACGGGCAGAUUCUAAUUCACACUACCUACCAGGUUUAGCGGCUUGUAACAAUAUGUAUUACACGUUCGUUAUCACCAUUAUUGUAACGCACACGUGCGUUGGACGCAGCAAACGUGACUAAAUCGGAUUAGUGCGCGAUCUGUUUGACGUCAAUUAUUGUGACGUUGUUGGUUCAUAUCAAAUGGGGAAGUUUUAGUUACAUGGCAAUGUACAACUUCCGUGAACUGGAGCUACAAACAAAACUAAACAACAUCCAAACUGUCAAUCACAUUGGCCUAAACGAGAUAAACAAUUAUUUUGAAUUUAAACCCCUACAUGAUGUUAUUUUAAUUUCUUAAUUUCGGAAAAAAAGACCCAUAAAAUCUACACAUCACAAUUGAAAUGGUUAACGGCAUAGAACUAUACAUUAGGGCAGUUCAGAUUUCAAACAUGCCAAAAAUCAAGUUAAAAAUUCAAAGCUCCCAUAUGUUCAUUACAAUCCUUGAGAGUCCUAUCAAAUGUUCAGCUAUUUCGGUGAUGAUUUAAUGGUGGCUCAAUAGCAAAAUUGGUUUAUAUGGGGAUUACUAUGGUGAAUUUUCAAAAAAAAAAGGUUCUCCGCGCUAUAGAGCAUUUACACAUGGAUGAAGUCAUAGGGUCAAAUCGAAGAUUUCUAAGUACAAGAUAACCCACUUCUGCUUUUCCCAUGCAGUCAAUUGGCAUACACAUUUGUUCGACAACAACGCUUUCUUGCGCCAGGAAAUCAAUCGGUUGGACCAACGAUAAUCAAAGCAGGUGAGCUGUUGUGUUUCGCUGCGUUGUAGACGUCAUUUGAAUGAGUUUCUGCCCUCUUGGUGAGUUUGUCAGUAAUCUUUUUUUUUUUUUUUUUGAUACCGGUCAACAGAACAACGCGAAACCCUUUCUUUAAAAUUCUGCAUAGUAAUGCCCAUAAAAAUCUAUUUUGCAUUCGGGAAUUUUAAGCACGUUUGAAAUCUGAACAGCCCUAAUCUACAUAAGUGCCACUUUCGAAGUGAAGCUAAAAUAUGGCCCUAAUAUUCUCUGAAUCAUCUAAAAGUACUGUUAAAAUCUGUUAUUGUUUGAAUUCCAAAAAUGUAAUACUUUCAAUAUUCAACUCAAAAUCUCACUCAAUGAUAAUCAAGACUCUACAAAUACAUUUUUAACAAAUUUGGAAGAUGAAUUGCUGGCAAUUCGUUUUUCGAAUCAUUUAUGAGUAAUUUGAAGACGGUAUUGAGCUUCUCUUGACCCUUGAAUUAAUUCUACUAAUCAAAACGUUCGCCCUAAAAUUAAUUAAAGCCAAAAAUGUCAUCAUUUUUGAUUCCUGAAAACUUUUUUCAUAAUGUGUUUGAAGUGACUCCGUAGCUUGAAGGAAUAGAAGCGCUCGUCUAGCGCAUUGAGAGUCGUGAGUUCGAGUCUCAUCGGAGUACGUGGAUUCCUUUUCAUAAUUCAAAUCUCAAUUUGUUCAUCGAGCACAUGUUUUUGUUGUGUGUACAUGAGUGUCAAAGCAUUAUCAACAGUGUAAUUUCAGCCAAAACAAAAUCAAGAAAUUUACAUCCGUAAAAUCACCCUGAAACCCGUUGAAAUCGUUACUUCUCCGGAACCCCUAAACCCCCUGAAACGCCUUGAAAUCAGAGCUGCAUUCUGUCACUAUCAAUGCUAGGUAAAUCGACGAUUUUAGUAGACUUUCUGCUACAAGUCAGCGUGUACUCUGUGUAGUCACUGUCACUUUACUUUUUCCAUCUCAACUGAACUGACUAUGAUGACGUGUAGAUUUCUCUGAUAGGCCAUUUCUAAAAUUCGUUUAAAAAUCCGAAUAAACACUUAUUAUAGUGACGAUGUUGUAUUAAACAAAAUAUCAAUUUGUAAUUUGGCUAGAAACGCCAAAAUAUCAGUUCAUUUUCAAUGAUAGUUAUCUGAAGUUUUGGACAGUAUCAAAUCGUCGCCUGCCAUUGUCAUCUUGAUAUUGAUCGGUCCAAAGUGAUCGUGAGGAUAGUGCAAAGUCAAAAGUUAACUCACAUGACUGAUAUUAAGCAACUCUGCAUUGAAACGAUUUGAAACCCUUCUUAAUUAUCCAUAAGCUCCUCAAACGUGAAACGACUUAAAACAUUCCUGAAACCUGCUUGGAAGCAUUCUACAACCAACCGAAACAAAAUCCCCAUGAAAUUCCCUAAAUCAUCCAGAAAUCCUCUGAUAUGUGUUGAAACGCCUUGAAACCUUUUUGAAGGUAUUCUAAAUUCUCCGAAACUUUCUUCCAAACUCUCUGAAAGCCCAUGAACCACUUGAAAUCAUCUAAAACAUCAUGAAACCCAUUGAAACGCUUCAAAACUCUUUCAAACUCUAUAGGAAGGCCCCUAAAACCCCUGAAAACCCCUCCGUAACGCAAUAAACUUUUUGAAAUGCCUUGAAAUUUCUCUUGAAACCCCUUGAAACUUUUUUAGAAGCAAUCUAAAGCCUCCGGAAAGCUCUUCCGAGUGUAGUACAGGGGAUGGCCAAAAUGUUUGGGAUAGGCAACUUUUUUUCUCUCACCAAAAAGUUCAACAUGCUGUAAUUUUUCAUAGAGUGCAUCAAAAAAUCUCAAAUUUUUACUGUUUGUCAACCUAUUAUAUGUGCAUCAUUGGUACAAAUUUGGCUCGAUUGAUUAAUCUUUCGCAAAGUUAGAAUAGUUCGGGUAAAACACUAUUCUUUAGACAACUCAUUUUUGAGGUGUCAUAUCUCGGAAACCUGUGAACCGAAUUGAAUGAAAUUUUGACCGUACACUGACAAUAUACAAAUGCUUCACAAACAAAAAAACAUAGAUAUUUUUGAACGUUGAAAAAAGUUAUCAUGGAUUGACACUUUUUGGGUUUUUCAGGAAAAAAUGUAUUUUUUUACGUCAAUGUCAAUAAAUUUUAGUUUUGAUGUUCAAAGAUUUUCCACUUCUGUUCUCAAGUUAUCUUUAAUUAGAUAUAUUAGAGCCUAUUUAGAUUGAAGGAAGAACACAUUUAGUAAUUUUUGUGUGGUAUUGUAAAUUUGACUUAUUUUCCUCUAUAUGGGUAAAAAUUUCAACCUGGUAUAACUUAAUUCGUCGUGAGAAAAUAUCACAUUUUAUAGCGUUGUAUUAAGUAUCAAUAUAUUGUUGAUAAACGUUAAAAAAUUCAUUCAAUUCGGUUCACUGGUUUUCGAGAUAUGACAGCUCAAAGAUGAGUUGUCAAAAAAAUAGUGUUUUACCCGAACGGUUCUAACUUCGCGAAAAAUUAUCCAAUAGAGCCCAAAUUUGUACCAAUGAUGCAAAUAUAACAGGUUGAUAAACAUUCAAAAUUUUAGAUUUUUCGAUGCACUCUAUGAAAAGUUACAGCUUGUUGAUUUUUUUUUUUUGUGGGAAAAAAAAGUUGCCUAUCCCAAACAUUUUGGCCAUCCCCUGUAUAUUAGGCCAUAUGAAUAAAGCUGAGUAAAUACUCUUUACUAAAUCUCUGUGAAGUCGUAGAGCAAUUCUCUGUGAAUCUUCACAAAGAUCUGAGUAAGGAGUAUUUACUCAGUUUUAUUAAUGUAAUAGCACGGAUACUUUGAUGGUGUGAUCAAGGUAGGCCAUGACGAUGGGGGGAGUUAGUUACGAGGAGACAGAACGUACGAACAGAUAUGUUGGCUGUGUGAAGCGUGGAAGGGUGUCUAAAUAAAUCUCAGUAAAAUAUAAACCAUUUGUCUGUGCAUUAUUUGUAAUUUCAGAUAAUCCUGAUUCCUACAUCGACCCUUCCUGAAAUACCCCUUGGAACUUCCAUGCAAGCCCCCUGAAAUGCCCAAAAACUUCUUCCAGGUUUUAGGAGUUUGCUUAAAGCGCUUUAAAACCCUUCUGAAGCAUCCUUCAAACCUCUGGAAACCAUUUCCAAACGCCCUCUGAAACACCCUGAAAUCCUCUGAAAAAGUCUUGAAAUCCCCCUUAAAAACCCAUUAAAAUUCCAUUAAAAGCCCCGUUUCCCUUAUACCGGAGUGAACUGUUCUAUUCCCAACAAACAUACUGCUGUGGAACAAACCACUCUUAAGCAUACUUUAGCUUAAGAAACUGUUAUUCAGCUAUAAGCGAGCAACGGGCAACAUGAGAAUGAGCUAGCUUAACGAUGCGAUGCCACCCGAACAUAAGGCAAUAAACACGGAAUGUUCACGGUUUUGUUUUUAAGAUUCCUCUAGAAAUACCUCCAGAAUUCUGCUUAGAACUGCUCCAAAAAUAUCUUGUGUUCAUUUGUCCCAAGAUUUCACUAAACAUUUCUUUAACCCUUUGGAGCCGGACAUAGAAACGGCUGUAUAAAUUCCCUCAUUCGAUAAAAUAGAAUACUGUCUUCGGCAAAGUUGUUGCAAAUUGAGUCCUCUAUUAGGGAUCUCAUUGAUAGCCUAGAACAUCCUGAACACCAUAAAAUUUGAAAAAUCGAAACAAUUGACAUACCAGUUGUUCUAAAAGCUGAACUUGUAGUUGGGUUACGUUUAUAUGUAUUCAUUUAGCUUUCCUCAAGAAUAUCAAAAGAUGUUUUACAUUCUGGGAUGUUCUAGGUGUUCCAAACUGUCCUAUAGUGAAGUCCUUCAAAUCUACAAGAAUAAUUUUAUGUAUUUUCGCCACAAAUAAUAGCACUGCAUAACCUACUGGGAUCCGUGAAGCUCUUGACAUCUACAAUGUCAUUUAUAGACACUAUAGGGAUAUUGCAGGUCAGCCAAACUACCUUGGAGUUCAGAACUUCAGGUCUACACUCGUAACAACAGCCAUAUCUGCUUUACUGAGUAACGUUGCAUAUUUAUCCGUGGUUACUGGAAGUGUAUUUUUUUAUUAUAAACCUGUAGGACAUCCCCCAAGUAACACACUUGUCACCGAAGAGUCACGGUGGCCACUUUCGUCCAAAUUGUUCGAUUAUUUAUAUUUUUAUCUUUAUUUAACAGAUUUUCAGCCGGGGCAAACUGAAAUCCUUCAAAUAUACAAGAACAACUUAAUGUGUUUUCACCAUAAAUAAUAGCAUAGCUUAAUCUGCUGAGAUUUGUGAAACUCUUGAAAUCCAUUUAGAGGCACUAUGGGAAUGUUCCAGGUCAGCAAACUAUCUUUGAGUACAAAACUUCAGGUCAAACAUCGUAACAUCAGCUAUAUCUGACAUACUGAGUAACGUUUCAUAAUCAAUCGCGGUGACUGGACCAAUCUGAAGUCUACUGUAUAUUAUUAUGAACCUUUGGGACAUUGAGGGUCGUCCAAACUGUCCUGAAGUUAAGCUCUUGAUAGUAACAGUAGUUAUUCUCACAAUGUACUUUAAACUGUAAUCCGUAAUCCCCUUGGCAUAUCAUGAGUCAUUUCAAGAUAGUAUUGAGAUAUUCCAGAUCAACCAACACCACUCUGGAGACAAUAGCUUUAGGCCAUAAACUUGUGAUAAUAGCUUUUGCCACUACGUUAAGUAGUGUUGCAUAAUCCACCAAAGCAGUUGGAGCAUGGUUUCCCAAACUGUGGGUCGCGACCCUCCAGGGGAGUCGCCGGCCUUCAUCCAGGAGGUCGCUAGGGACAGUAAAAUAUUUUACUGUAACAGACAACAAAUGAAGGAAUUUCUAUGGGGGGUCGCGAAAACUACGUCUGCUGGCAAAAGGGGGUCGCGCGACCUGAAAGUUUGGGAACCUAUGAGUUAGAGGAACAAUAAGCGUUGUUAUAUAUUUUUGAGAUAUUAUGGGCUGUACUGUUAUGAAGCUUAGUUGAUAAAAACAACCACUGUAGCUUUCAGAAGACUUACUGGACAUAAUAGUUUACAAAUCGUAGCUUUUAAUGAAAGAAGUUACCGUUACACCCGUAAACUUUAGGAUCCAAACUCAGGAACAGUUUGGAUUACUUAGGACAUCCCGACUGAUAUGAAACUGUCUAUAGAACUUUCAGAAGACUUACUGGACAUGAUAGAUAACAAAUCGUAGCUUUGUAUAAUAAAAGAAGCUACCGUUGCACCCGUAUACUUAGGAUCUAACCUCAAGAACAGUUUGGAUGACC